rnacentral:rRNA from 1 species
AGUGAACGCUGGCGGUAGGCCUAACACAUGCAAGUCGAACGGCAGCACAGUAAGAGCUUGCUCUUACGGGUGGCGAGUGGCGGACGGGUGAGGAAUACAUCGGAAUCUACUUUUUCGUGGGGGAUAACGUAGGGAAACUUACGCUAAUACCGCAUACGACCUACGGGUGAAAGCAGGGGAUCUUCGGACCUUGCGCGAUUGAAUGAGCCGAUGUCGGAUUAGCUAGUUGGCGGGGUAAAGGCCCACCAAGGCGACGAUCCGUAGCUGGUCUGAGAGGAUGAUCAGCCACACUGGAACUGAGACACGGUCCAGACUCCUACGGGAGGCAGCAGUGGGGAAUAUUGGACAAUGGGCGCAAGCCUGAUCCAGCCAUACCGCGUGGGUGAAGAAGGCCUUCGGGUUGUAAAGCCCUUUUGUUGGGAAAGAAAAGCAGCAGGUUAAUACCCCGCUGUUCCGACGGUACCUAAUCAGAAAGCCACGGCUAACUACGUG